AACAUAGGUAAUGGUAGAAUGGCUGAGCAAGCAUUAGACUGUAAAUCUAAAGACAGAGGUUAAGCCCUCUUUCUAUC
rnacentral:tRNA from 1 species